rnacentral:rRNA from 1 species
GAUGAACGCUGGCGGCGUGCCUAAUACAUGCAAGUCGAGCGAACAGACGAGGAGCUUGCUCCUCUGACGUUAGCGGCGGACGGGUGAGUAACACGUGGAUAACCUACCUAUAAGACUGGGAUAACUUCGGGAAACCGGAGCUAAUACCGGAUAAUAUAUUGAACCGCAUGGUUCAAUAGUGAAGGACGGUUUUGCUGUCACUUAUAGAUGGAUCCGCGCCGCAUUAGCUAGUUGGUAAGGUAACGGCUUACCAAGGCAACGAUGCGUAGCCGACCUGAGAGGGUGAUCGGCCACACUGGAACUGAGACACGGUCCAGACUCCUACGGGAGGCAGCAGUAGGGAAUCUUCCGCAAUGGGCGAAAGCUUGACGGAGCAACGCCGCGUGAGUGAUGAAGGUCUUCGGACCGUAAAACUCUGUUAUUAGGGAAGAACAAAUGUGUAAGUAACUAUGCACGUCUUGACGGUACCUAAUCAGAAAGCCACGGCUAACUACGUG